AUACGAAGGGGGCUAGCGUUGCUCGGAAUCACUGGGCGUAAAGGGCGCGUAGGCGGCUGAUUUAGUCGAGGGUGAAAGCCCGUGGCUCAACCACGGAAUGGCCUUCGAUACUGAUUGGCUUGAGACCGGAAGAGGACAGCGGAACUGCGAGUGUAGAGGUGAAAUUCGUAGAUAUUCGCAAGAACACCAGUGGCGAAGGCGGCUGUCUGGUCCGGUUCUGACGCUGAGGCGCGAAAGCGUGGGGAGCAAACAGGAUUAGAAACCCUUGUAGUCC
rnacentral:rRNA from 1 species